rnacentral:rRNA from 1 species
GAUGAACGCUGGCGGCGUGCCUAAUACAUGCAAGUCGAGCGAACAGACGAGGAGCUUGCUCCUCUGACGUUAGCGGCGGACGGGUGAGUAACACGUGGAUAACCUACCUAUAAGACUGGGAUAACUUCGGGAAACCGGAGCUAAUACCGGAUAAUAUAUUGAACCGCAUGGUUCAAUAGUGAAAGACGGUUUUGCUGUCACUUAUAGAUGGAUCCGCGCCGCAUUAGCUAGUUGGUAAGGUAACGGCUUACCAAGGCAACGAUGCGUAGCCGACCUGAGAGGGUGAUCGGCCACACUGGAACUGAGACACGGUCCAGACUCCUAAGGGAGGCAGCAGUAGGGAAUCUUCCGCAAUGGGCGAAAGCCUGACGGAGCAACGCCGCGUGAGUGAUGAAGGUCUUCGGAUCGUAAAACUCUGUUAUUAGUGAAGAACAAAUGUGUAAGUAACUAUGCACGUCUUGACGGUACCUAAUCAGAAAGCCACGGCUAACUACGUG